UUAAGUUCAGCGGGUAUCCCUACCUGAUCCGAGGUCAAACUUGGAGAGUUGGGGUUGCUGGCCAGCGUCCACCAGGACUCUGUAGCGAGGGGUAUUACUACGCUUAGAGCUGGGGGGCACCGCCACUAGUUUUAAAGCCCGCCGUGACCGGCUAGGCUCAAGACCAAGCUGCGCUUGAGUGUUGUACUGACGCUCGAACA
rnacentral:misc_RNA from 1 species